GCUCUCCGGGACGCACGAGAACGCGCACGCGUCACUCCCCUCUAACGCGGACACACCGCCGGCGCGCGCACGCGCGGAUGCGUCGGCCUCGAAUCGCCCGCGCCCCGCGACGCCGACGCGGUUCCCCGCCCUCCCCACCUCGCGUCAGCCCGCAAGCCCUCUGGCCGGCCUACCGCCCCCGCUCCCUGCCCGCCUCCUUCCAGGUCUCCAGCACGGCUGGAUGCCUGCGCCUGCGCGCAAGCUGCGAGCCGCCUCCGCGAGCUCCCUCCCCCACACUCGCACUCAGCACACACGCACACGCGGGCGGACGGGCACGCACGCGCGCGCACACACACACACACACACACAACUUCGCCUGUGACCCCGCCCAUCGCCGGCCAGCUGCGCCAGCCGCCCUCCCCCACCACUCCAGGGAGGGCUGUGACCCUCGACCCCCACAAAACACAACAUCCCCCCCACAAGCAGUAGGAAGCAUCGCCCCUUCCCCUACAGGCGUCUCUGCCCUAGGCAGCCAGUCAGUCAGACGACUGAGGGCCAGGCGGCCUGGGCCAGGGCAGCCGUUGGCCGCCUCAACGCGGGGUGCCCCGGGGUCAUGCCAGGGGAGUGGGCCAGACCCGGGCGCCGCGCUCGGGCCUGCUCAGACCGAGGGGGCGCAGAGAAGCACCGUAUUCCCGCCGGGCGCCCUCCCUCACGCGCCGGCCGGUGGACCAAGGCCCACCUGCUCGCCAUCCCGGAGUAGGCCCCAGCACCCCCGCUGCAGGGCCUGGCCGCCCUUAGCACUGGGGGCUCCUCAGUGCAGCGACCCGGUUCCGCCUCACCCACUCCUUGCCGCUCCGAAGGGGCAGGAAACGGGAGUAGUAGCAUGUCUGUCCUGGGCUCGGCUCCCUCGGGGGAGCUCCAGACGCUUGACAAGGGCGUCCACAGGUGCUGUGCGCGAGAGUGGGAUCCACGACGGCUCGGGGGUGGCGGCGGCCAGCGCACCCACCGCGGGUCACAGGCGCCUGGGGAGGUGGCCCAGGAAGCCCCCGCUGUUGGCCACGCUCAGGUUUCCGUAACGCCGGUGCCCUCGGCGGCCCGGGUGGGACGUGACCCCGCCCCCGGCGAGUCGGGGCGCCCCCCACUGAGAGGGGCGCGGGCCGCCCCUAACCCAAGGGCCGCGGCGUGUACGGGAGGCCCAGCCUGGAAAAUGUCUCCAGUCUGUGUGCGCAGCUUCGCGCGAGGGUCAGCGAUGGGGCAGCGGCGGCCCAAGCUGCCCGGCCCUGCCCACGAACGGGCUCCCAUGGCUCGACAGCUGCCCGACGGGCUAGCAGGCUUCGGACGUCGACGGAGCCCAGCCAGAGAUAGACAAUUGGAAUAUAAGAUUAAACCGCAGGCAUAAUUACUGGAAGAAAGAGGUCCACCGUUUCGCAACUGCCAACAGAAACCUCUCACAGCAAAAAUGAUUGUUCUCUCUAUCCAGAAAUACUUAAUACUUAGAGGGAAAAAAGGAAGAAAGAAAGGCCCCACAUGGUACAUACAACCUGUAAUUCCAGUGCUGGGAGACAAAGUCUCCCACUGAUCUGGAAUUCCCAAGUAGACUAAGCUGGCUAGCCUGGGAACCCGAGGAUAUGCUUCGUCCAUCAAUGGUGGCACUUGACGUUAAUCCCAGCACUCUAUAGGCAGGUGAAUCUCUGUGAGUCUGAAGCCAACCUAGUCUACAAAGGAAGUUUCAGGACAGCCAGAGCUGUGACAGAGAAAGCCUGUCUUAAAUAAAUAAAUAAACAAGCAUUCACUUUGAACACCCUUCCCUUCUUAUAUAGGUUGUGGGAGUCAAGCAUAGGUGAGUACUUUAUCAACUGAGCUGUCUUGCCAGCUCCAAUGUCUGUCUGUCUUUGCUUGCUUGUUUGUUUUCUGAGACAAGAGUUUCUCUGUGUAACAGAGCCCUGGCUGACCUGGAACUCCUGUAAAUCAAGCUGGCCUCUGAAGUGUUGGGAUAACAUAUGUGUACCACCACAUAGUUUUGUUUUCUCAGAAGUAAUACCAGUAAAUGCUGAUAAGACUAUGUGCUGCUCUUGCAGAGAAUAUCAGUUUGGUUCCCAGCACUCAUAACAGCCUGUAACUACAGCUUCAGGGUAUCUUGACACCCCCUUUUGGCCUUUACCAGUAACUGCACUCAUGUAUACAUACCACCUCCCAAGACACAGGCAUCCAGAGAAUUUUUAAAGCUAUUUUUAAAGGAAAUCUUAAAAAUACCAAGGCCACCCACUUUUUUGUGUGUAUUUGGGGAAAUGAAGAGGUUAAGGAUGAAAUAAAAGCUUUGUUUCUAACUGUAUUAAGCUAUUUCUAAUUUAUUCUUUAAUUUUAAAGAGGAAACAAGGCUGUUCCCAAAACAGUAGAUCUGAUCCAGAACAGAAAAGGUAGCCUUGAAGAUUACUCAGGAGACAACAUGAUCUUCAGUGGCUCAACAGCUCAGAAACAGAAUGGCCAUCCUGUAGGUUUCUGAUACUCCUUCCUAAUGAGUCCUUCUAGGUCUCAGUUGUGAAAUGAAUCACCUCUUAAAGUGCAGUGUCUGCCACAUAAUAGCUACUGUUCAUGAUCUCUCUCUGUCAUAAAGUGUCACUAUAUAACUAAGAUUAGCCCCAAAGUCUUGGGUUCAAAACAUCUUUCUGUCUCAGCUUCCUAAAAAACUAGGAUAAUAAGCAUGUGCUUUUUGUUUGUUUGUUUGUUUUUGUUUUUUGAGACAGGGUUUCUCUGUAUUGUUUUAGAGGCUGUCCUAGAACUCGCUGUGUAGACCAGGCUGGCCUAGAACUACAUAGAUCUGCUGCCGCUGUCUCCCAAAUGCUGGGAUUAAAGGCGUGCACCACCAGUUUAUUUGGCUAUUUCAAAGCAUGCAUAUGGAGACAAGAGGACAACCUGUGAAAGAAGAUUUUCUUCUUCCCCAUGUGGGUCACACAGAUGGAACUCAGGUUGACAGGCUUGACACUAGUCAUCUUUACCUGUUGUGCCUUCUCAGUGGUCACAAGCAUGUAUUUCCUAUGCUUUUCCUCCUCUUCCUCCCCCUCUUCCUCCUCCUCCUCCUUCUGUUUUUUUGUUUGUUUGAUUUUGAGACAGGAUCUCACUAUGCAGCCUUGGCUGGCCUAGACCUCAUUAUGUAGACUAGGCUAGCCUGGAACUCCUAGAGAUCUGACUCUGUAGACCUCUUGAAUGCUGGAUUAAAGGCAUGCACCAUCACACUCAGCUUUUUAUUUUUCUUUCCUCUUGUUGGGGAAGAGGUCUUGCAUGUCAUGAGUGUAUGUGUAAGUAUACGCUUGCGUAUGUGUGUAGGUCAAAGAAUAGCUUAAAGAGUCUGCUCUCAGCCAGAUGGGGUGGUGCAUGCCUUUGAUCCCACCACUCAGGAGGCAGAGGCAGGUGGAUCUCUGAGUUCAAGGCCAGUCUGGUCUACUGAGUGAGUUCCAGGACAGGCUCCAAAGCUACAGAGAAACUCUGUCUCAGAAAUAAAAAACUAAAGUCCCAGGUAUGGAACUCAGGUUAUCAAGCUUGACAGUAAACAUUUUUACCCACUUAGCCAUCUAGUAGGCAUUCUAUGUCUGGCAUCUAAAUUUAAGGAUAGUUUGAGAAUUGUUGGCAGAGUAUUUGCCUAGUAAGCACAAAGUUGAAGGUUCCAUCCUAGCACUUCAUAGAAUAGGGCAAGAUAUUGCACACUAUAAUCCCAGCAGGAUUAGAAGCAGAAAGAUCAGAAGUUCAGGGUUGUAGUGCCUAUGUAUAGAGCCAGCCUAGGUUACAUGAGACCCUAUCUGAAAACAAAACAAACAAAACCAGUGUUGAGUAAAGAUGUUUUGUAUUUAAGCAAAUUGAAGAGGGUUCACAUGAUGUACAAGCCUUUCUAGACAGCUGCACUCUUCAGUCCCAGUCUCUUUGCUCCCCAUACCUUGUACCUGGUCUCCAUUUUGUUCUCUUACCUGCCGUCCUUCUUUCCAUCAUUCUGUACUGUCUCUUUCUUCUCUGUCCAUCAUCGGACAGGCCUGUAUGCCUACUCUCUUUUACUAACUGGUGCACUUAGACAAGUGUUAUUUAGAUUUGUUAGUGAAUGUCUCCCUUUUCUCUCUUUCUACCAGACAAGCUCUUUUUGGAGGUGAACUGAGCCAUGUGAGUAUCAUUCAAAGGCAUUAAUACUAGGAAUAAAAACUGGAUGUUGGAUGAUUGUGACCUAAAA